UUCUUCUUCUUCUUCUUAUUAUUAUUAUUCUUCUUCUUCUUCUCCUUCUCCUUCUUCUUCUUCUUCUUCUUCUUCGUGCUUUUCCUUUUUCCUCUUCUUUCUUCUUCUCAUCUCAUCUCUUUUUCUUCUUCUUCUUNNNNNNNUUCUUCUUCUUCUUAUUAACUUCUUCUCCUCUAACUAAGCUAAUUAACAACUAACCUAACUAAGCUAAUUAACAAUAGCUAAUUAUUAACUAACCUAACUAAGCUAAUUAAUAGUCGCUAAUAAAAAAC
rnacentral:lncRNA from 1 species